UUCCACUUGAUUGAGUUAGCUGUAUCUUCUCAAAUCUUCAACUUUAAAUUCAUUCAACAACCCAUAUAAGUUAAAAAUUGAAGAAUUAUAGUUUCGUCAACUCUUCAUUCUAUCACCAAUUUAAAGAUGGAUCGUACUUACUGGAUGUACCAUACCACACAUACAAGCUCGACAUAUACGGAUGGCGUUCGAAAUUUUCUUAGGGUUGCUGAAACACAUCGGUUGAAUAGUGGAAGUGGAUUGAUUUGUUGCCCUUGUACAAUUUGUAAAAAUUUCCAAAGAUUUAAUUAUAUCAAAGAGAUACAAUUUCAUUUAAUUACACGUGGUUUUAUGCCUAAAUACACAUGUUGGUCAAUGCAUGGGGAAUCACUUACCAACACUAGCACAACGUCAAUCAAUCUAGAUGAUGAUAAUAGGGAGAACAAUGAUUCAAAUAUUGAUGACGAUAAUGACCAUUUUAAUGACCCCAAUGACAACUUAAAUAAAAUGUUUCAUGAUUUAGAGACUAAUAUUGGUGCGGAUGAUCAAGAAAAAUUACAACUCCUCUUUGAAAAAGAAGGAAAACCGUUGUAUCCCGGUUGUGAAAAAUUUUCGAAACUUAAUGCUGUGUUGAAGUUGUUUCAUUUAAAGUCAAAAAACGGAUGGAGUGAUAAAAGUUUCACAAAUUUAUUAGUGCUUUUGCACGACAUGCUUCCGGGAGGUAAUGAGUUACCGCUUUCGACAUGACAUACCGAGCAAAAAAGUUGAUGUGUCCUAUGGGGUUAGAAAUUGAAAGAAUACAUGCAUGUCCAAAUGAUUGUAUGUUGUAUAGAAAUGAGUUCAAAAAUGAACAUAAAUGUUUUAGAUGUAAUGCAUCGAGGUAUAAACGUAAAAAAGAAACCGAUGAAGUUGAUGAUGAUGUGACAAAAAAUGGGCCACCGGCUAAAAUGUUGUGGUAUUUUCCCAUCAUACCGAGAUUGAAACGUCAGUUUUCAAACGAAAAAGAGGCAAAACUAUUACGUUGGCAUUCAGAUGAGCAUGUAAACGAUGGAAAAUUAAGAUACGUGGCGGAUUCAUCUCAGUGGAGAAACAUUGAUAACAUGUAUCCAGAAUUUGGAGAAGAGAUUAGAAACAUACGGUUUGGACUUAGAUCAGACGGAAUCAAUCCUUUCGGGAGCAUGAGUAGUCUCCGUAGUACGUGGUCGGUUCUUUUAUGUAUCUACAAUCUUCCACCGUGGUUAGCCAUGAAAUGAAAAUACAUUAUGAUGUCUUUGUUGAUUCAGGGUCCGAAAAAACCUGGUAAUGAUAUUGAUGUUUAUUUGUCUCCUUUAAUUGAAGACUUAAAAACUCUAUGGAGUUCAGGUGUAGAUAUGUAUGAUGCUUACAAGAAAGAACAAUUUAAAUUGCGGGCCAUGAUUUUUUGCACCAUAAGUGAUUUUUCUGCGUACGGUAACUUGUCAAAGUACAAGACGAAACGUAACAAAGCUUGUCCUGUUUGUGAAGAUGAGACAAGUUCAGUAUAUUUAAAAAAUUGCAAAAAAACUGUAUACAUGGGACAUUGAAGAUUCCUUCCAGAUGGUCACAUUUAUCGAGAGAAAAAGGAAGAGUUUGAUGGUACUACCGAGCUCCGAAAGAUAAGGAAACGAUUUGAUGCAUUUUCAAGAGUUAAAAAUUUAAAAACUGUGCUGGGAAAAAGAACUCGCGUUGAGAAAGGUGUUAUUUGGAAAAAGAAGUCAAUCUUUUGGGAAUUACCUUACUGGAAACAUUUAGAUGUUAGACAUUACCUAGAUGUUAUGCAUAUCGAAAAAAACGUAUGUGAUAGCUUGUUGGGCUUAUUGUUAAAUAUUCCCGGUAAAACAAAAGAUGGGAUAAAUGUCCGUAAAGACAUGGUAAAUAUGGGAAUACGUAAAGAGCUUGCCCCUGUUGAGAGAGACAACCAUAUUUUUCUGCCACCUGCAUGUUAUACUAUGUCAAGUGAAGAAAAAACAAAGUUUUGCAAAUGUUUACAUGAUAUUAAG